rnacentral:snoRNA from 1 species
UGGACCAUUGAUGAGAAUGUGUCAUGAAUCCAAAAAUAUGAUUAUUGCAAUUCUUUGUGCUUGAGGUCCAAA